rnacentral:rRNA from 1 species
UAUAGUUGAAGUUGGCGGAAUGUGUCAUGUAGCGGUGAAAUGCUUAGAUAUGACACAGAACACCGAUCGCGAAGGCAGCUAGCUAAGCUAUAACUGACGCUCAUGCACGAAAGCGUGGGGAUCAAACAGGAUUAGAUACCCUGGUAGUCCACGCUGUAAACGAUGAUUACUCGAUGUUGGCGAUACACAGUCAGCGUCUGAGCGAAAGCAAUAAGUAAUCCACCUGGGGAGUACGAUCGCAAGAUUGAAACUCAAAGGAAUUGACGGGGGCCCGCACAAGCGGAGGAGCAUGUGGUUUAAUUCGAUGAUACGCGAGGAACCUUACCUGGGCUCGAACGUAAGAUGACUGUAGGUGAAAGCUUACAUCUCUUCGGAGCAUUUUACGAGGUGCUGCAUGGUUGUCGUCAGCUCGUGCCGUGAGGUGUCGGGUUAAGUCCCAUAACGAGCGCAACCCCUACCUUUAGUUGCCAUCAGGUCAUGCUGGGGACUCUAAAGGAACUGCCUACGCAAGUAGUGAGGAAGGCGGGGAUGACGUCAAGUCAGCACGGCCCUUACGUCCAGGGCUACACACGUGCUACAAUGGCCGAUACAGAGGGCAGCUACCUGGUGACAGGAUGCAAAUCUCCGAAGUCGGUCUCAGUUCGGAUCGGAGUCUGCAACCCGACUCCGUGAAGUUGGAUUCGCUAGUAAUCGCGCAUCAGCCAUGGCGCGGUGAAUACGUUCCCGGGCCUUGUACACACCGCCCGUCAAGCCAUGGAAGCUGGGGGGACCUAAAGUCGAUAACCGCAAGGAAUCGCCUAGGGUAAAACCAGUGACUGGGGCUAAGUCGUAACAAGGUAGCCG